rnacentral:rRNA from 1 species
AGUGUGGCGCAUGCCACGCUUUUGAAAGAUGGUUUCGGCUAUCGCUUACAGAUGGGCCCGCGGUGCAUUAGCUAGUUGGUAGGGUAAUGGCCUACCAAGGCAACGAUGCAUAGCCGACCUGAGAGGGUGAUCGGCCACACUGGGACUGAGACACGGCCCAGACUCCUACGGGAGGCAGCAGUAGGGAAUCUUCCGCAAUGGACGAAAGUCUGACGGAGCAACGCCGCGUGUAUGAAGAAGGUUUUCGGAUCGUAA